rnacentral:lncRNA from 1 species
AGGCAAGGCAGGAAGUCGAUGAAAACGGAAGAGCAAAUGCUCUAGUAAGGAGAAGCUGGGAAGGGGCCGUGUGUGGACUUCUAGGUCAGGGGCAGUUCAACGAUCUCUGAUUCACAUGAGAGCGGAGCCAGUCUUUGCAGUGGGAAAAUUGAUGAUGCAUCACAGCACAAACAAACAAGCUUCUCAAAGGAUGGGUCACAUGUCGAGAGAGCUGAAAAGCAAGAGCAGACAGGCUCUGGAGAAAGCCCAGUGAAGGAUUUUCUGAAGAAGAGAGCCUGCUUCCUGGAAAGCAGUCAGGAUUGUAUAGAACCUUUUCUGGACCACCUGCUUGGAACACCUUCCUGGCUUCUGCUCCCCAGAUGCCUGUCCCAGGCCUCAGAGAGCUCUUGGAAUUGGCCACUCCAGAGGGGUGAAGAUGCCCUGGUGGUGGUGGUGGUGUUCCAGAAAGGGGCGGGGCCUGCAGAACAGCCAGAAGACGUCAAUGUAGUGAACACGUGGCUGCUGCCAAUUUCCACAGCUAUGUGCCUGGGCCUGCCAGGCAGAACUUUGCCUCCAUGCCAUUCUUCAUGCUGUUAAUCUACUGAAAACACCCUCUUCUCAUUUCUCUACUUGCUACGUUUUCUCUUCUAUUACAAUUUCUUCUCAAGUUUUGUCUGCUCCCCAAAUCUUGGUGAUCGGUUUUCCCAGCCUGGUCAUCUGAUGGAACACCUUUGAACCGAACAUCUUGCACCUGAUGUGCUUCAGUAUAUCUAUCUAAGUCCUGAAACCUCCUGUAAUGACUUCCAAAUUUUUGGAGUAAAAAGUUAUUUUUUCUUAUAAUAAGAGUAUCAUAUGCCUAUUUUAGAAAAAUUGGAAAAUGAAGACAAGUGCAAAGAAGAAAUUUUGAAUCACCUUUAAUUCCAUCAUUUUAUAAGACCCCCCUCCUUCUCAUGUAAGAACAUUUCAUGGAUUGCCCACAAAAUGUUUGCCUUUUUAGUAUUUUGAUUAAAAAGUUGUAUAAUGAACACAAAGCUACUAUGAUAUCAGUAAUGCUUUUAAAUGAAUUUAUACUUUAUUGUCAUGAUAAUAUUGCCAUACAUUUGAAUGGUAAUUCAUAUAUAGCAAGGUAUCUUGCCUGGAUUUGAGUUUGGUAAUACCCAUUCCUAGGGUUCUCUGUGUGUUCUGAAUAGAUAAACUUUCUUCUUUUUUGUGGAAUAUUAUGUCAUUGAGCUAGAAUUUGUAAACUCUAAAGAACUAGACAUUUAAAUAUAUACACCAAUAUAACAUUUGCAUAUCCAUGCAUAUAUUCACAAUCUUUUUAUGGUCUGUGUAUAUGUAUAUUAUGCCUGUCAUUUAUGUAAUCUGUGCAAAAACCAUGUGGCUGAACUACCAGUGAAGGUCAGUGUUUCCCAGCUGGCCAAUGGUUGCAUCAGAAUUACACAGAAACUCUUGACUUUUUUGCAUGCCUAGCACUAGAGUAGCCGAGGACUGUUAAAAAAAAAAAAAAAAAAAAAAACUUAGUGUUUUUAGCAAGGAAUGUCUUGCAUGCUAAAAGGGUUUUAUUCUGUUUCCCUUUGUCCCUGGCAAGCUGUGCAGCACUGCUCAAAAUGCCUCUUUUCGGUGAAGUUGGGCUUGUAGCCAGCUUAAUCUCUCCAUGGCAACUCUCUGUGGACAGGCUGAGCAAGAGGCAGCAGUACCCAGGCAUCAGGUCUAUCUGAGGCAUCCGAGGGAGCUGACGUCCAAGGAAAACAGGCACUAUGGCUCUGAUGCUUUCCUUGAAGUGGAGGGGAGACCCCCAUGGAAUAGUAAAGAUGAAGCUUCAGUGAAAAUGCAACCUAAACUUUGACUUUGGGGCCAUGAUAACCCAUAACAAAAAUGCUGCUCCAGGUUCACCAGGUUUGAUUACGUUCUGGGGUUGUGUAGAUUAAUUUGAAUACCAGUAGGAUAACAAAAUAGUUACAGUUAUUAAAAUAAAAGUCUGCCAAUAUGUCUCCCCUUCUAGAGCCUACUGGAGUGUGGAUAACAGUAAGAAUAAGCAAGUGAGAAAGUCAGAGAAGAUAAAUGUAAAGUGGUGAUUAUGGGAAGGUGGUCUGUAAAGCUAAUAAAAAAGAAUUUAGUCUAUUUCCUUAUAGAACUUCCUUCUUUCAGAUUUUCCCAUUGCAUAAAUUGCCCAAGAGGAU